UCGCGGCGGACAGUUGGAAUUCGUUGUCGCUGCGUUGCGGAUGCUCAAAUCGGAUGUGCAAGGCACCAAUUUUCGCAAAUGUCACAUACAAAUGUAUGUGUGUGCGUGUGUGUAGACAAACGGGCGUAUUGUUAACGGGUAUUGUGCUAAUUUCGUGCGGAAUUUCAUUCUAAUUGUGAAAAUUUACACAUUUGUGUUAGAAUCGUACGGAACUUAUGAAUUGAAACAAAAAUUUUCAGAAAUAUGUAAAUUUAGUGGUGUGUUCGAAAAAUUGCGUGUGUGUGUCGGCGUGCGUGCUGAAUUUCCAGCCGUGGCAGGCAGAAGUCGGAAAUUAGUCGUGAACAGUUAUUUCUGUCACUCAGCUGCCUAACUGGCUGGCUGGCCAAUGUUCUGGUCAGCGAUUUUCUCAGCUGUUGGUGAUUUUUAAAGUGAUUUGUUACUGUUGUUGCGAUUUGAAAACAAAAAAAAAUAUUUUUUGGAAUAAAAAUUAAUGUGUGGUGUAUUUUGUUGAAGUGUUCACUGAAAAAUGUCAAUAUUUUAUUUCGAAAAUAUUUUUUUAUAAUUUUUACUGAAUAAAAAUAUCGAAAUUAUUAAAUCUAAGUCGCGCUAUAAUUGACGAAAAAAAAAUUUCUUCAAAAAUAAAAACAGAUUUAUAAAAAAAAUAAAGAAAUAUAUAAUUUUUCUACAGCAAAAAAACAAACUCCUAAGAAAAUUUUUCUAAAAAACAACACUCAAAGUAGUAAAAAAAAGUCUAAGCCAUUAAAUUUAUGGUCGCUUAACUGAAAAAAAGAAAUCGAACAAUACCAACAACAGAAUAAAAAAAAUUAAAAAACAAAUAUUCUUUUGCUUAUUUGUCAAUUCACCACAAAAAAGAAAACGCAAAAAUAUUUAACAAAAACAACAACAUAUUUUUUUUUGCGAUUUUUCUACCUAUUUAAUCCAUUAAGUGUUGCAAAUCGCACACAAGCGUGAGCAACCUACCCCAAGCUAUUGAGGUGACGCUCAAGCAAACGCAAUAAAAUAUAGUUAAUAAGCUCAGCACGCCAUUUAAAAGCAGAAUAGAGGCAAAAAAUCGCAACAAACGCAAAAAUUAUAAAGAACCCAACAAAACACAACAAAAACAAAGAAAAGCGCAACACUAAGCGGCUUUGCCACACGACGGAAAUAGCACUAUAGUGCUCGUAUAAACCCAUAGUCAACAGUUUAAGAAGAAUACUUGGUGUAACUUAUUGAUCAUACAUGCAUUAACAUCGCUUGAAACUGUAAAGAUCAAAGCGAACUACCAUAAAUAACUGUAUUGUAGACAAAGAUCUCGUAUCGGCUCACCCAACGAAGCUGGCGGUCGUGCAGUAGCGAUCAUUAACGCCACCACCUCCAAACGCCAUCGCCGCCACCUCAUGGCUAGCAUCCACUGCUGCAGCAAGAUACAGAGUGACGAGCGUGCAGCGUUCGGCCAAUGUCGUUGCCGUCGUAGUCGUCAGUGUAAUCGGCGAGCGUAAUCGUGUACAUGUCGGUGUCUCCAAUGCGCUGCGCGGCGUCGUCGUCGUCGUCGUCAACUUUUCUCAAGCAGCCAGCUCAAGUGUGCGUAUUGUUGUUGUGAGCUCAAGCACUUUGCGACCAACUCCAGACAUUGUUUUUGUUGAUUUUCGACUUUUGGCACGUUGCUUGCUGUCGACGCCGCUGUUGCUGCUGCUUGCUCCAAUCGUCGUUGGAGAACGUCGUGCAACUGAACAUUUUCGGCUGACUUUGUCAACAGACAUGGCGCUCCGACGGCGCUAGUACGAAUUCAUCUACCGACGCGCGUUGUCCGUUAUAGCGGUUGUGCGGCGUUUCAUGGCGUGUGUUGGUACGUUGUGGUCAUGUUGUAGGCGAGCAAACGUAAUUUCCUAUACGAACGAGUACUUUUCUUCGCCUGCGAGUCGCAGGAAAACGCAGGAGGUUUAAAAAGUGUGUCGCGCAUGCGUUAAGAAAAAAAGUGAAUAUUGUGAAUUGCAAGUAAAUAUUUGUAUGUGAGUAAGUGGCAUGCGAAAAAGCUGCCGAUUAAUGUUGUCUGGGUUUCGUGCCCUACUGUCCGGGGUGUCAUCAGUGCAACUUUGCGCAAAAAAAAAUUGCAAAAAUCAGCGAAAAGAUACGAAAUUGUCGGAUGAACUUAAUGAGCGCUUUUGUAAUAACGGAAAUGUGAGCAAGUGAUUUUUGUGCAGCACAAGGCAGUAAAUUUUCGAAAUACGCAAAAAAAAAAAUUGCCGAAAGUUUAAAACGAAUUCAUAACGAGCGGUAUUACAUAACGAAAGGUACUUAUGUAUGUGUGUCAAUAAAAAAAAUUAAUUUGUGACGAAGAAUUAAAGUAAAUACGAAUUUAACGAGUGAAUUGAA